UCUCUAUAUAUAUAUAUAUAUGAUGAAAAGAAGAAUAUUCUAUUUUAUAGUGUUUAUUUUUCUUUUUUCUCUGGUAACUGGGAUUAGUGCGCCACCUACCGGACUCUUGUGCAAACGAGAAAAUCUCAAUUAUUGCUAAAUUCCGAUAAAAUCAUUUAGAAAAAAAAAAAAUAAUAAUAAUAAUGCAUAUGUGUAAAACCAUGUAAAAUAUUGGCUCUCAUGCAUUAUAUUUGGAUAUUUUAGAUCACAAUUAUUGAAGCAGCAGGUCAGGGAAACCCCCAGGUGAUGUUUGCAGAUCUUCACCUGUCCAGCGUUGGUCACCCAGAGAUUAUUAAAGCCCAAGAUCUCGUGUUGUAGAGCAUCAGUUUGAAGAACCAGUAUCCUGUCGAUGGUCUCAUUAGAUGUUGGGUCAUCGAUCACCUAAAGCAUUGGUGGUUGUAGAGGACAGAAGUGACAGCAGCGACACACACGAGUCAGAAAUCUGUUGUGCGUAAAUGAUUUAUGUUUCAUCGACAGAUUAAAACCACAAUUCCACAUUGGGUCUCUGAAAACAUGUGGGCCGAAAACAUCAACGGGCAUCAGAAGAAGCUUCGCUGUUCUGUUCGGAAAGAUUUAAUAAAUAAUAAAACUGA